UAUCAGGGCAGUUAGAUACUUCACUUUUAAUUCUUUUAGAUUAAAACAUUAUUAGAUUUAGUAAAGGAGAUUAAAAAUUAUUGUAUAAUUCUUAAAUUCUAAGUACUGUAGAGGAAUGGCCCUAAUUAAAAGAAAGAAAAGAUUAAAUUUU
rnacentral:rRNA from 1 species